AUUCAAGAUUUAGUUAAUUACUCUAGAUCUAGCAUUAGGCAUAAUUAAAGAUGAAGAAUUCUACAGAUAACCUAGCAAAGGGGGCAAUCUACUAAACCAUAUGAAUCCCUAAUGAGAAACCCUAUUCCUAA
rnacentral:sRNA from 1 species